rnacentral:tRNA from 1 species
UUCGGUGUGGUGUAAUUGGUAGCACGAGAGGUUCUGAUCCUCUUAGUCAAGGUUCGAGUCCUUGCACCGAAACCA